CUUUAUUUUGAUGUAGGUUAACAUUUGAUUUGGGGAAGCUCUGUAGAUCGAGUUACAUUGCAGACUUGAAGACUUGCCAGCUACACCAUCUAAAAAAUGGGCUGCUGAUCUAGGUACAUUGCUACUCGGCCUUGCCUUCAUUUGAAGCUUUCUUAGAUCAAUUCUUCGAAACCACAAAACAAGUACUCUUGUAUUUUGAGGUUCUACUUGCAGAUUGUUCAUCUUCUGAUCUAUUUUGUUGCAUUAUUUUGCACUCUAUCUGCCAAUUUGGUUGCAUAGUCAUCGGGUCUUUCAAAUUAAUGUCACUGUGGGUUUGGUUGCACAAUGUUUUCUACAAGGUAUAGCUUAUAGUAUGAUAAUACACACAAGUCUGAUAUGGCCUAUGGGCAAAUUGUGCUGACAGAUUACGAUCCUUAAACCAUCCUUUAUACAACGUGAAGAAAAGUAGUACACAUCAAUGAAACCCAAGAUUGCAAGAAACUUGGUUAUUCAUAACAGUAUGUUACUGUAGCUGGUCCAUUAACAUAUUAAUUGUUUUACCAGUACAUGUCAAUGUACCAAAAUUUCCAGACUAGCUCGGCGGCCCUAUUUUGGUUUAUAUCAGGAUCAAUAACCAUAUAAACUUAAAUUGUGGUUUUAUUUGAAACAAGUAGUUAUGAAAUCUUACAUGGCUAGACAAUGUUUUUUUUUGCUAUUUGCUUCACAUAGCCAAUGUAGACGAGAAUGGCGACACUCAGUCUCCAAAGAGAUUACGCAUUGGAUCGGGGAGCACAUUGGUUGAUCAAAAUUUGUAGACACCACCAGCAAUGCAAAGCUAUACAUUGAUAGUGAAAUCGUGUCCUCUCCAGUCGACUUGCAAGGUUUGUGUCCUCUCCAGUCGCCGGCGGUUGCCUGAGGAUGUGUGUGGCUUGGAACAAGGCUCUCUUCCAUAUAAUCCAAGUUCUCGCACUUACCUUAUUUGUCUCCUAGUAGUUUUUAUGUGAUGUGUGAUUUCUUCCUUUUCAAAGUUAUUUGUUAAUGAACUAGCCUGACCUAAAAUUGAUUAGACUUAUGGUUACUGGGUAAUACUUUUAGUUUGCUAGAACUUUUUAUGCCUGAAAGAAACUUACGUAAGAUGCUAUAAGGAUUAACAUCCUUACCGAUUACAGCACCGCCGGCGGUGGCAGGACAUGAUUUCUAUAUGCAUUUAUAUAGAUAUAUUUGUAAGCAUUUCAUUUAUAUUUGUGAACUUAUUCUACAUUUAUUUGUAGUUUGCCAAGAAAAAAUAAAGUAGUGACCAAGUGUGCUUAUCUACUACUGCUUCGAGCUUCUUUUCCUUUAAGUUAUAAUAGUAUAUGUGUAUAUUUUUAGACCUAUGUUUGUUACUAUUAAAAUUAUAGUUACAUUUCUCAAAAUAAAAGUAACUAUUGAUUUUUUAUGAAACAUAUAGAUUUUAUUAAAUUUGGAUUCAUGGUAAUUUAGUUACUCCCUUUGAUCCAUAUUACCUGUCGCCGGUUAAUCGGAGGGAGUACAUGAAUUACUAAACUCUCCAAUGGUAUGUAACAAUCACAAUGUAUGUUUCUCCUGCUCAAAGACUAUUCCAUGCACCACUACUCUUUCAUCUGAUGGUAGUGUUGUGGACAUCCGCGUGAUGUAGCGUAGCUCGAUGCCGCCUCUAGGCCUCCACCUUGUCUGAGAGGCAGACUCAUACCUCAACUUAAAGCAUAUCUUAAGCGACAAUUCAACAUGUGGCAACACAAAGGCAUAUUCACCUUAUAGAGAAUGAGGAUAACCUUAUUUUUGACAUUUGUUGGAGUUGGAUAUAGGAAGUGUCUACAGUGGCACAUGAAGUAGGUUUUACAAAUUUUUUCAUUUGUACUCGGCGUUUUUACGAAAAAGUCCAUAUGAUUGUAGAUAUUUGAACCCGCCAUCCUUUCUUAAGUCAGAAAAACGUUUCGUAUUUGUGCCCCACCUGGACGUGUUUUCACCACACACAAAAAACCCACCCCAGAGUCGAUUGACCGCGCUCCCACCCCAUCUGGAUCCACCGCCUCCUUCUCGCCGGGCUGCAUCCUCCGCAGCGCCAUCCUCCACCGCGCCGUCCUCCCCGCACCCGGACUGCCUCCUCUCCGCCACGUCCUCCUCCCCACGCCGUCCAGGUCCUCCGCGGGCGGCUCGCCGACGCCGGCGCCGUCCUCCCCGCACCCCGGACUGCCUCCUCUCCGCCACGUCCUCCUCCCCACGCCGUCCAGGUCCUCCGCGGGCGGCUCGCCGACGCCGGCGCCGUCCUUCCCGCACCCCGGACUGCCUCCUCUCCGUCGCGCCGUCCUCCCCGCGCCGUCCAGGUCCUCCGCGGGCGGCUCGCCGACGCCGAGGCCCAGGCUGCCACGCUCCGGGCCUGCGCCAGCAGGCUCGAGCGCGCGCCGCCGACCGCGACGGCCUGCUUAACACGCCGGGAGGAGGACGCGCGGGAGGCGGUGCAGCGCCAAAAUCAGCGCGUGUCGGAUCCGGUCGAGGGUUAUGGCGACACGGACACGGAGGCUCUGGCCGUGGCCACCGCGAUGUAUGCCCCGCCCCUGCUUGCCGAGCACUACCUCGCCGGGAGGAGGGUUAUGGCGACACGGACACGGAGGCUCUGGCCGUGGCCACCGCGAUGUAUGCCCCGCCCCUGCUUGCCGAGCACUACCUCGCCGGAUCACAUGUUGUUUGAUUCACUGUUUGGUUGAAGUGUAUACUGAUUACACCUUCUACCAUGUUGAUUCGCUGCAGAUAGACGUGAUGGUGAGGGUUGUCGACGGGUCUUUGUCCCAUGUGGUGGCCGAGUCGAGGUGAACACAGGCAAUGUUCGUCAUGCUUAACAGGUAAUGUCAAAGCAACUCAAUUUCUUCAAAAAUUGUAAUUUUGGUUUCAUCCUGCUUUCUUUUCGCAAAUACAGGUUCAAUACUUCUAUUUGUUUUUUAGCUCAUGUUAUACUAAUGUGAGGUUUAGCAUUAGGGGUAACUUUAUGCAAUUACACUUAGUCAAUAGCCUUUUCUGUUGCUCUCGGAUUUUUAUGUGGGUAAUGGUGUGAUCUCCGUACAGACUAUAGAUGUUGAUGAAAUACAUGUCACGCUGAAAAAUAGCAUGUCCGAGAUAAGGCAAUGGAACCUUCAUGCUUAUGAUGUAAAGGUUUUUGAGCAGAGGGACGCCCGUGAGAUCUCCUGGUGGUGUUCGGACGCGGCCGCCAGAGUUGUGGCCUUGGCUGCGGCCAUGGGCAGUUGUUGGAGACAAGCGAGGUCGGGCUUGGUUCGUCGGAUCUGUGAGUGGUAGGUUGAUUCAUGUUGGUUUUACAAGGCGGAGAAGUUUUCGUCCAAGCUUGACCACCACGUUUUUUUGUGUUCGAUGGGCUUGCACCGGAAUUUGCAGGGAGAAGCUUGCAUUGUAGCAGGCCGUGUCUACCUACAAGACGGCCAUCGACAAUCAAUUCCUGAAGAAGUUAGCAGUCUGUGCAGUAUGCUAUGGAUCAUCGUGUCCAUCAAGAGCAAUCCCUAUUGUUUGUGGUACAUAUAUUCAUCUCUGUUGAAUCUGGAACUUGGUAACUAAUUUGCCCCGUGUAUAGGUAGACAUCGAUCAAUAUGAGAGGAUGCUUAGCUACAUAUUAAUCCUUGUCAAUUCAGUACAAAUUUACUGAAUUUACAGAUGGAGGUUGUUGAGAGAACUUUAGCUAACAAUUAUAUGUCCUCGGUGAUGUACAAGCAAACACUAAAUUUUUGCAGUGUACAAAGUCCUUGAGUAAUUCCUGGCGCUACAAGUUUAAAAAAAAGAUGCCGGGUCUCUACCAUAUUCAGCCUCCACUUCAGAAUUUGAUUUGAACUAUAGGACAGUCGGUUGCUUUUG
rnacentral:lncRNA from 1 species